rnacentral:misc_RNA from 1 species
CGCAAAUUGCGCCCGCCAGUAUUCUGGCGGGCAUGCCUGUCUGAGCGUCAUUUCAACCCUCAAGUCUCCUUGGACUUGGUGUUGGGGCUCGGCCCGCCCCCUGUGGGAGGGCCGUCCCCUAAAUCUAGUGGCGGACCCGCUGUGGCCUCCUCUGCGUAGUAGUGAUACCCCGCGUGUGGAGUGCAGUGAGCCCCUGCCGUUAAACCCCCAACUUCUCCAGGUUGACCUCAGAUCAGGUAGGAAUACCCGCUGAACUUAA